AUUGAACGCUGGCGGAAUGCUUUACACAUGCAAGUCGAACGGCAGCACGGGGCAACCUGGUGGCGAGUGGCGAACGGGUGAGUAAUACAUCGGAACGUGCCCAAUCGUGGGGGAUAACGUAGCGAAAGUUACGCUAAUACCGCAUACGAUCUACGGAUGAAAGCGGGGGAUCGCAAGACCUCGCGCGAAUGGAGCGGCCGAUGUCAGAUUAGGUAGUUGGUGGGGGUAAAGGCUCACCAAGCCAACGAUCUGUAGCUGGUCUGAGAGGACGACCAGCCACACUGGAACUGAGACACGGUCCAGACUCCUACGGGAGGCAGCAGUGGGGAAUUUUGGGACAAUGGGCGCAAGCCUGAUCCAGCCAUUCCGCGUGCAGGAUGAAGGCCUCGGUUGUAAC
rnacentral:rRNA from 1 species